rnacentral:rRNA from 1 species
UUCGGGACGCCGGCGAGUGGCGAACGGGUGAGUAACACGUGGAGACCUGCCCUGGGGUGGGGGAUAACAGCUAGAAAUGGCUGCUAAUACCGCAUACGCCUUACGAGGGAAAGAUUUAUUGCCCCAGGAGGGUUCCGCGUCGGAUUAGCUUGUUGGUGGGGUAACGGCCUACCAAGGCGACGAUCCGCAGCUGGUCUUAGAGGAUGAUCAGCCACACUGGGACUGAGACACGGCCCAGACUCCUACGGGAGGCAGCAGUGGGGAAUAUUGCGCAAUGGGGGAAACCCUGACGCAGCGAUGCCGCGUGGGUGAAUAAGGCCUUAGGGUUGUAAAGCCCUUUCAGUGGGAACGAUGAUGACGGUACCCACAGAAGAAGCCCCGGCUAACUCCGUGCCAGCAGCCGCGGUAAUACGGAGGGGGCGAGCGUUGU